GACGAACGCUGGCGGCGUGCUUAACACAUGCAAGUCGAACGAAGUGGCGAACGGGUGAGUAACGCGUAAUCAACCUGCCCUUCAGAGGGGGACAACAGUUGGAAACGACUGCUAAUACCGCAUACUGAAGGAGGGGAUUGCGUCGGAUUAGCUCGUUGGAGGGGUAAAGGCCCCCCAAGGCGAUGAUCAGUAGCCGGUCUUAGAGAGUGAACGGCCACAAUGGAACUGGGACACGGCCCAGACUCAUACGGGAGGCAGCAGUGGGGAAUCUUCCGCAAUGGACGAAAGUCUGACGGAGCAACGCCGCGGUAGUGAUGACGGCCUUCGGGUUGUAAAGCUCUGUUAAUCGGGACGCGGUACCGGAAUAGAAAGCCACGGCUAACUACGUGCCAGCAGCCGCGGUAAUAC
rnacentral:rRNA from 1 species